rnacentral:rRNA from 1 species
GACGACGCUGGCGGCGUGCUUAACACAUGCAAGUCGAACGAGAUACCGGAGCUUGCUCCGGUGGAAAGUGGCGAACGGGUGAGUAACACGUGAGAAAUCUGUCCUAGAGACCGGGACAACCAUCGGAAACGAUGGCUAAUACCGGAUACCCUCACAUGGUCGCAUGGUCGAGUGAGGAAAUGCUCAGGUGCUCUAGGAGGAUCUCGCGGCCUAUCAGCUAGUUGGUGGGGUAACGGCCUACCAAGGCAUCGACGGGUAGCUGGUCUGAGAGGACGAUCAGCCACACUGGGACUGAGACACGGCCCAGACUCCUACGGGAGGCAGCAGUGGGGAAUAUUGCGCAAUGGGCGAAAGCCUGACGCAGCAACGCCGCGUGAGGGAUGACGGCUUUCGGGUUGUAAACCUCUUUCAGUGAUGACGAAAAUGACGGUAGUCACAGAAGAAGCUCCGGCCAACUACGUGCCAGCAGCCGCGGUAACACGUAGGGAGCGAGCGUUGUCCGGAUUUAUUGGGCGUAAAGAGCUCGUAGGCGGUUUCGUAAGUCGGAUGUGAAAACUCAGGGCUCAACCCUGAGACGCCAUCUGAUACUGCGAUGACUAGAGUCCGGUAGAGGAGCAUGGAAUUCCUGGUGUAGCGGUGGAAUGCGCAGAUAUCAGGAGGAACACCAACGGCGAAGGCAGUGCUCUGGGCCGGUACUGACGCUGAGGAGCGAAAGCAUGGGGAGCAAACAGGAUUAGAUACCCUGGUAGUCCAUGCCGUAAACGUUGGGCACUAGGUGUGGGGUCUUCUAACGGAUUCCGUGCCGUAGCUAACGCAUUAAGUGCCCCGCCUGGGGAGUACGGCCGCAAGGCUAAACUCAAAGGAAUUGACGGGGG